rnacentral:rRNA from 1 species
GGGGGAUCCCGCGGCCUAUCAGCUUGUUGGUGAGGUAAUGGCUCACCAAGGCGACGACGGGUAGCCGGCCUGAGAGGGCGACCGGCCACAUUGGGACUGAGAUACGGCCCAAACUCCUACGGGAGGCAGCAGUGGGGAAUAUUGCACAAUGGGCGAAAGCCUGAUGCAGCAACGCCGCGUGCGGGAUGACGGCCUUCGGGUUGUAAACCGCUUUCAGUAGGGACGAAGCUAACGUGACGGUACCUACAGAAGAAGCACCGGCUAACUACGUGCCAGCAGCCGCGGUGAUACGUAGGGUGCGAGCGUUGUCCGGAAUUAUUGGGCGUAAAGAGCUUGUAGGCGGUUUGUCACGUCGGGAGUGAAAACUCGGGGCUUAACCCCGAGCCUGCUUCCGAUACGGGCUGACUUGAGGAAGGUAGGGGAGAAUGGAAUUCCUGGUGAAGCGGUGGAAUGCGUAGAUAUCAGGAGGAACACCAGUGGCGAAGGCGGUUCUCUGGACCUUUCCUGACGCUGAGAAGCGAAAGCGUGGGGAGCAAACAGGCUUAGAUACCCUGGUAGUCCACGCCGUAAACGGUGGGUACUAGGUGUGGGGAACAUUCCACGUUCUCCGUGCCGCAGCUAACGCAUUAAGUACCCCGCCUGGGGAGUACGG